UACGGAGGGGGCUAGCGUUGUUCGGAAUUACUGGGCGUAAAGCGCGCGUAGGCGGCUUUGUAAGUUAGAGGUGAAAGCCCGGAGCUCAACUCCGGAACUGCCUUUAAGACUGCAUCGCUAGAAUUGUGGAGAGGUGAGUGGAAUUCCGAGUGUAGAGGUGAAAUUCGUAGAUAUUCGGAAGAACACCAGUGGCGAAGGCGACUCACUGGACACAUAUUGACGCUGAGGUGCGAAAGCGUGGGGGAGCAAACAGG
rnacentral:rRNA from 1 species